rnacentral:rRNA from 1 species
AACGAACGCUGGCGGCAUGCCUAACACAUGCAAGUCGAACGAGACCUUCGGGUCUAGUGGCGCACGGGUGCGUAACGCGUGGGAACCUUCCCUUAGGUUCGGAAUAACUCCCCGAAAGGGGUGCUAAUACCGGAUAAUGUCUUCGGACCAAAGAUUUAUCGCCUUUGGAUGGGCCCGCGUUGGAUUAGCUAGUUGGUAGGGUAAAAGCCUACCAAGGCGACGAUCCAUAGCUGGUCUGAGAGGAUGAUCAGCCACACUGGGACUGAGACACGGCCCAGACUCCUACGGGAGGCGGCAGUGGGGAAUAUUGGACAAUGGGCGAAAGCCUGAUCCAGCAAUGCCGCGUGAGUGAUGAAGGCCUUAGGGUUGUAAAGCUCUUUUACCCGGGAUGAUAAUGACAGUACCGGGAGAAUAAGCUCCGGCUAACUCCGUG